CUCUGUGUGUCUGCCAAGUAUCGUACCGGGUGACAUGUUAACGUUAGUUGCCAAACUCCUGCUUCAAACACUCUUCUUAACGACCAAGUUACAAUGUCAACAUGACACCAGUUAAAGCCAAAGUUUAUAUCCGAAAACCGUGUUAUAUACUUUGAUAUGAACUUUUGUUUCUCCUCGUCGCCGUGUUGAACUCACGGAGCGGCUUCAGUGAGGCAAGUGUAGGCAAAAGGAUGCUACCGGUUUAGCAAAAGAACGUUAGCUUAGCUGUUAGCACCCGGCGACAGAAAUUCGCGAAAUAACAGCACUGAACGUACGUUGAUUGAAGAGACUCUCUCCUCCGCUUCACUCCGAGCAACUCGAGAAGUGACGUCAGCUCAAGGCUUCUACAAUGCAAACUUUUGUUCGCAAAACCUGCAACCAGCAAAGUGCACAAACUAUCUGCGAGUACACUAUAUACAUCUGUAAGAUUCUGCAGUCAAAGGAGCUACUGACUGGACUGAGUGAAACACACGCCUGGCAGGAUGAACACACAUGUCACCCAAGCUUAUGGGAAUGCAAUACUAAGUCGCUGGAGUAGCCCUGCAACAGGACAUUUCUGUGUGCACACAAAAGCCUCCACCAGGCAGGACUGGUCUGUGUCCAGGACUCUGAACGGAGGGUGGUACUCGAAUGCCGUGAGGAUAGUGGAGCCAAGAUUGUGCUUCUGGUGCAGGAACCAAAUAACUGCUGAGACUCCCAUGAUGGCGACCACGCUGAGAAUGACCAGGGCGGACAGCAGUGCGUUGGGUUCUGAGGAGGACAAGUAACAAUGCAAGGAAAGUCACUACUAUAAACAACAACAAAAAAGCACACAGGAAUAGGUAAAGAAACUGCGAAAAAAAGCUCAAAGGUCGACUUACUCUGCUUGGCUACCUCUGCUUCUGAGGAAAAAAAACAACACAGUGAGCCAAGUGGAAAACAAUCCCAACUAUAUUUUCUAGAGACACAUUAACUAAAAUCCUCGCUACAUACUCAUGGAUCAGUCACGUUAAGAAACUCUGGUAGAUUAAUAACAUACCAAAAGGUCUAAUAGACGUAUUGACUGAUUGAUAUUUUGCAUUGAGAAAAAAAAAAGACUUUAAUCUUACUCUGAUCUGUCUCGCAGACCACUCCGUUCUCCACUUCUUCCAGGCAGCUGACAUUUUCCCACUUUCCCGUAUUGCUGUGCAGAGAGACACAUGUUUCCACGGGCACAAGGUCUGAUGGAGAGCUGUCCUCCCAGUUAGUGAAUAGCACAGGGUCGUCACCGAACCACAUCAUGUUGUCACCUGACAAAAGACACCAAUCAGUACUCCAGCACGACAGCCAGCGGGAAUACCAACCACUUUCACAGGCAAUGUGCAUCUUUUCCAUCCUCAGGAUUCACACUAACUGAAAUGAGAUUUUGAGUUUCUGGUAUCUUAGCUUCCUCCACGGUGCCUCCAAUGACUGCUUCAUAAAAAGAAAAAAAAUCAUUCCUGAGGUUGUGCCAGGAUUGAAAGACAAGGAUGAGUUGGUGCUGUCACGCUUUAAAAGUAGCAGAUAGACUGUGCUAAAUACACUCUAAAUCAAACGAUAAGAUUGUUAUCUUAACUCUUGAGUUAAGAUUUUUUAGUCAAACUAUUGUUUCCAAGUUCAAGAAUAAACUUUCACGCACUUUUAAGCAGAGUACAGAGUACAAUUAUAAAAGCUCAACAAAGAGAUAAAUAAUCACUUAAACAAAAUGAUCAAUAUAUCAAUACAGUAUAUGUAUAACAAACAUCUGAAACAAAACCCUUUAAGAUUCAAACAAACAACAGUAAAACAAAGUUGAAUUGUUUCCUUUUUCAUAGACAAUCAGAUUUUAUGCUAUGGAAGUUAGUCAGCAAGUUUUCACUGUCCUCUGGUCACAUGAUACUUACUGUUUGUGUCAUAAUACAUUCCCAGCCACACGUUCACAGUGCCUUUCCACACUUCUGGGCUAUAUUUAAUGACAAAGUCAUUCUCCUCAGCGCUCUGGAUGGUCAAAAGCUCUACAAAAAGCAUAGCAAUGAAUGACAACCGAAUCACACACACACACAAUGAGAAAACAGACCAUUUGUCAUUUUGUCUUUAACAAAAUAUUUAAACAUUAAAAUGUCUCAAGUACCAAAUCCUCGGCAUAGGGUUUUUGCACUCUCAAAAGUGUAGCUUUUGAUUUUGUCUUCUUCUCCAUGGACAAAGUGGUAACAUUUGUCUUUAAACGACACCCAGGUGCGUCGGUCUGCAGGGCAGUCUGAGGAAAAUCAUGGGACAAAACAUGGUAAUGGAAAAAUAUGGCACCUGAUUGAAAUUUCUUUUAGCUGUGUGCAUUUUUGUGGGAUGGAUUUAGAAGCUACAGGAAGAGAUUUAACAAAGAAACCAAUGAAACAGGACUGACUAAACAAAACAUAACCAAAUCACCCGUUUAAGAUAAGGCAACAACUGCCUCAUGUUUGGUUGGAUGCCAGUAGAACCAGUUGGAUGUCAGUAGAUACCAUACUACAACCACGUCUGUACAGUUGAAACUACUUUGUUUGUUUCACGUUGUGACCGCAGUUCCUCUUUUUCCGUGCAGUUUGUGUCUAUGUUUGCCAAAUGAUCAUGCUUUUCUAGACUUUUCUCCUUGUAGUUUCCUGACUGCUGCACCACAUAUAUGGGAACAGAUUAUUUCCCCCUCGGUGGAGCUCUGUUGUCUGUCUCAAGGUUUAAAAACUGACACAUGUGUUACAUGUGUCUGACUUUUGCCAGUUCAUCUAUGGUGUCUCAUCUUUGUAGCAGUGUUAUACUUGUUAUUAACAAAUUUACUUAAUGACUAUAUUGGCAUUAUUGCUCCACAUAAAGUUACAGUCCGACAAAUAUAGUCUAUGUAAAGGGAGAUUUGUCCCAUUUUUUUGCAAAUUAGCCAUGAUUAGACACCUUCAGGCAAAAUCUAAAGAUUUCUGACCUGCAAUACACUGAUCCCAAGGGGAAAACACGGAUUUUUUAAUGUUUGAUUUGCGUUUCGCAACAUAGGCAAGCACACAACUUUUAACUUAAUUUACGUGCACGUACGUACUUUCCCGAGAGAACCCCCACAAUAAACAAGCAUUAAGUUAAGUGCAAAGAGCAAAGCUAAGAGUAACGUUAUACUAACGCAGGAAUGCUAAAUUCAACGGCUGUGAACAAACGUAACUCUGACAGCAGAAUAUAUCACGUUUAUGUAGCUGUGAGCGAAGAUUCAGUGUUAAACUCUUUAAACCUAACUUACGUCCCGUCAAACUCAACUGCAGCUGGAUACACAACACAAAGACGCAGAAUAACACUGAUCGGGAACGGCGAUUGUUCUUCAGAGACUCCAUGACAGCCAGGACCCCCAAAAAAGUCAGGUAGUAUGGCGAAUGCACGAAACUACUUUUCUGUUGCACGACUCAAGCGUCCGCAGGCAACGUGAGCGAGAUCCCACCCACAUCCAGAUACACUACACAGCGGCUCACAAACACGACUUGCACACCGUAUAACACAGUAAUAACAGUGUAAACACACCGGCCUGCACUGAUAAAACUAAACGCUAAAAACAAGAGCAAUUUGAACACUAUUAUUAUCUGCGAUUUAAUAACACAAAUCUUUGACAAUUAAUGUCAAUUUAAAGGCUAAUUGAAAAAGCAUCCUUGGUAAUUCAGCCGCUGUAUUUACGUCCAGAAACUGCAGUCCUCGAGGAUCAGAUUAUUUUACACAUGGGGACCCCUAGGUGGCGCUUUACGCACAGUGUUCAUCAGAUUCAAUGUGGUUACAUGCCUGAUUUGCAUUGUUUUCUACAGAGACUGUGCUCUGUAAGUUGCCAUCGUAAUCAUUGACUUAUUUUUCUGAUGUUAUGGUUAAUUGUGUAGAAUUAUGCUGAUGUUUAUGUUUAUGAAUUAUGUGAAAUGUCCACCUCAUACCUGUCUGUGUGAUAUGUAUGAGGCUUUUAAUUUGCAGUCAGUAAAUGACAGAAUUAAAUUUCAUUUAUACAUAUUCAUUUUUAAUUGCAUUCAUUACCCAGUUUAUUGGAGCAGUUUUUGCAGCCAUAUACUUGAGUGUUUUAUGGUAUGUUUUUAGUAUGUACCACCCUGUGACUAGUCAGGACCAGGCCUCUUGCUAAACCUGUAAACAAUAAACUUGUUCAAAUAUACAAAUGAUAUAUGAAUGUGAAAAAAAUCAGUGUGUUAUGUGUUGUCAGCACAGAGCCGAAACUACAGAAUCGCUAAAUGAUAUGGUAAUGAAAGUAAUUGUCUAUUGUUUCCCUAAACAUACUGUAUACAUUGUAUCAUGUUGCAUUAUAUUCUGAAGUGUUUCUAUUAUUUUGGACAGAUUAUGGCAUCAAAAAGUAUCACAGAGUUGAAUCAACUACUCUCUAUAAUUGUCGCAACAAAAACUAAAGACUGUAAGAUUUGCAAAGGUUGUGUUUAUUGCUGGGGUAGUGCAAUCGAUUGCAUUAUAUUGUAUUGUUGUGUCCACCCUCCUGUAUCUACUCUCUUAUUAUUAAAAUUUCUAGUUAAGCAUCA